UACGAAGGGGGCUAGCGUUGUUCGGAAUUACUGGGCGUAAAGCGCACGUAGGCGGAAUGUUAAGUCAGGGGUGAAAUCCCGGGGCUCAACCCUGGAACUGCCUUUGAUACUGGCAUUCUCGAGUCCGGAAGAGGUGAGUGGAAUUCCGAGUGUAGAGGUGAAAUUCGUAGAUAUUCGGAGGAACACCAGUGGCGAAGGCGGCUCACUGGUCCGGUACUGACGCUGAGGUGCGAAAGCGUGGGGAGCAAACAGG
rnacentral:rRNA from 1 species